UAGGGAAUUUUCCACAAUGGACGAAAGUCUGAUGGAGCAACGCCGCGUGAACGAUGAAGGUCUUCGGAUUGUAAAGUUCUGUUGUCAGGGACGAACAAGUACCGUUCGAAUAGGGCGGUACCUUGACGGUACCUGACGAGAAAGCCACGGCUAACUACGUGCCAGCAGCCGCGGUAAUACGUAGGUGGCAAGCGUUGUCCGGAAUUAUUGGGCGUAAAGCGCGCGCAGGCGGCUAUGUAAGUCUGGUGUUAAAGCCCGGGGCUCAACCCCGGUUCGCAUCGGAAACUGUGUAGAUUGAGUGCAGAAGAGGAAAGCGGUAUUCCACGUGUAGCGGUGAAAUGCGUAGAGAUGUGGAGGAACACCAGUGGCGAAGGCGGCUUUCUGGUCUGUAACUGACGCUGAGGCGCGAAAGCGUGGGGAGCAAACAGG
rnacentral:rRNA from 1 species